rnacentral:rRNA from 1 species
GAACGAGAAAGUGGAGCAAUCCAUGAGUAAAGUGGCGACCGGGUGAGUAACACGUGACCAAUCUACCCUCGAGUGGGGGAUAACUCCGGGAAACCGGGGCUAAUACCGCAUAAAAUCUUCGGGUCGGAAGAACUGAAGAUCAAAGGAGCAAUUCGCUUGAGGAGGAGGUCGCGGCUGAUUAGCUAGUUGGCGGGGUAAUGGCCCACCAAGGCGAAGAUCGGUAGCCGGCCUGAGAGGGCGCACGGCCACACUGGAACUGAAACACGGUCCAGACUCCUACGGGAGGCAGCAGUGGGGAAUUUUGCGCAAUGGGGGAAACCCUGACGCAGCAACGCCGCGUGGAGGAUGAAGUCCCUUGGGACGUAAACUCCUUUCGACCGGGACGAUUAUGACGGUACCGGUGGAAGAAGCCCCGGCUAACUUCGUG